rnacentral:misc_RNA from 1 species
GGCAUGCAGUGAUAGGAGUAUGGGGACAGGGAUAGCAAUAUGGGAUAUACGAACUGGAGAUCCUCUCUUGCACAUUCCGACUUGUGCUUCCCCACCUCAUGGGUUAUUGUGCUUGGGAAACCAGUUUCUUGUAGCUUCUCAGGUUAACAAGCACGGAUCUGUUGGUGGUGGGGCUAUAUUCACCUGGCCCUUGAACAAGUCACAAUCACCACUUCGGAGCUACCCUAUUGAAGCCAUUGGGCCGAUUUCUUGCACCAUGGAUGGAGUGUAUCUUGCGGGCGGUGCUCCUUCGGGAAAUGUUUAUAUUUGGGCGGUUGCUAAUGGAAGACUGCUCAAAACAUGGCGCGCACAUCAUAAGUCUUUGAAGUGCAUGGCAUUUUCCAAUGAUGACUCUGUUCUUAUUUCAGGUUCAGAUGAUGGUAUGAUCUGCGUGUGGUCUAUGGUUAGUUUGCUGGAUAUGGAGAAUUUGGAAAGCUCACCUUCGUUGUUACACUACUCAUCCGAGCAUAGGUCCUCCAUAAGUGGUCUGUUAACAACAUCCAGCGCAAACUCAACUUUUAUAUCAAGCUCUCUGGACGGUACCUGCAAGGCUUGGGACCUGGUUUCAGGUAGGCUUAUACAAACUCAAGAACAUCCACUGGGGAUAACUGCGAUCGUCCUUCAUCCAGCAGAGCGAUUUCUGCUUGGUGGAAGUAUAGAUGGAAGAAUAUUUGUUAGUGUGCUUAACAUUGGACUAGUGGAUGAUCCUUUUGUUGUUGCAGAAGAUCAACUGUUCGUGCUAGAAGGACACAAGUAAUGUCUAAUGUAUGAUGCAUAAAGUUACUUGAAAUCUGAUUGAGAAUGAACUCAAGUACAUAUACAUUGUAGUGGAAUUGUAAAAGUGGA